GACAGAGGGUGCAAACGUUGUUCGGAAUUACUGGGCGUAAAGCGCGUGUAGGCGGCAGGGCAUGUCGGAUGUGAAAUCCCGUGGCUCAACCACGGAAGUGCACCCGAAACUGCCCAGCUUGAGUCUCGGAGAGGAAGGCGGAAUGCUUGGUGUAGAGGUGAAAUUCGUAGAUAUCAAGCGGAACACCAAUGGCGAAAGCAGCUUUCUGGGACGGUACUGACGCUGAGACGCGAAAGCGUGGGGAGCGAACAGG
rnacentral:rRNA from 1 species